CCUACGGGAGGCUGCAGUGGGGAAUAUUGCACAAUGGGGGGAACCCUGAUGCAGCAACGCCGCGUGGGUGAAGAAGUACUUCGGUAUGUAAAGCCCUGUCAGCAGGGAAGAAAAUGACGGUACCUGACAAAUAAGCCCCGGCUAACUACGUGACAGGAGCCACGGGAAUACGUAGGGGGCAAGCGUUCUCCGGAUUUACUGGGUGUAAAGGGAGCGUAGACGGCAAGGCAAGUCUGGAGGGAAAGCCCGGGGCUCAACCACGGGACUGCUUUGGAAACUGGGUUGCUGGAGUGCAGGAGGGGUAAGCGGAAUUCCUAGUGUAGCGGUGAAAUGCGUAGAUAUUAGGAGGAACACCGGUGGCGAAGGCGGCUUACUGGACUGUAACUGACGUUGAGGUGCGAAGGCGUGGGGAGCAAACAGGAUUAGAUACCCCAGUAGUC
rnacentral:rRNA from 1 species